AAUCAGUCAUUUACUACAGUUACCCGCCAUGUUGUUUUGCCAGUUGGUGUUCUUCUUCUUUUUGCAGACCUAAAGAUCUUGACUGCAUGAAUUAUGGAUUGGCCUACAAUGUAGUGGACCCUUUUUACGCUUCUCUGCCGCCUGGAUUAUAUUUCUUCUCUCCGCCUGUGUGACAAUGAAGCGCUGUGCCUCGCUUAUCAGCUCCGAACCAGCGUGACAGACUGGAGCUGGGCUGCCCCAAAAUGGUGGCAUUUACCUCCCAAAAGCACAACUGAAAAAGGCAUUUUGUCUGCAGGGUUUCUAAGGACCAGAAAGAUGGAUUAAUAUCCAUGAUGAAUAUAUCAAUAUUUUAUUUUUCAAUAAACACCUCAAAUAAUUAUAUUUCUGGCAG